GACGAACGCUGGCGGCGUGGAUUAGGCAUGCAAGUCGAACGGUAUCAUCCUUUCGGGGGUGAGAGAGUGGCGAACUGGUGAGUAACACGUAGGUUAUCUACCCUCAAGACGGGGACAACCCAGGGAAACUUGGGCUAAUACCGGAUGUGAGCAACUUUUAGUUGUUUGAAAGGUGGCGUAAGCUGUCGCUUGGGGAUGAGCCUGCGUCCUAUUAGUUAGUUGGUGAGGUAACGGCUCACCUAGGCAAUGAUAGGUAGGCGGCCUUAACGGGUGGUCGCCCACACUGGGAUUGAGAUACGGCCCAGACUCCUACGGGAGGCAGCAGUCGAGAAUAGUCUACAAUGGUCGGAAGACUGAUAGUGCGACGCCGCGUGAACGAUGAAUCCCUUCGGGUGUAAAGUUCUUUUAUAUGUGAGCAGUGCUUCUUAUAUUAACAGUAUGGGGAGAGAGAUAUUAGCAUAUGAAUAAGCAACGGCUAAACUCCGUGCCAGCAGCCGCGGUAAAACUCGU
rnacentral:rRNA from 1 species